GUCCACGCUGUAAACGAUGAGUGUUAGGCGUCGGGGUCUUAGACUUCGGUGUCGUAGCUAACGCGUUAAACACUCCGCCUGGGAAGUAAGAUCGCAAGAUUAAAACUCAAAGGAAUUGACGGGGACCUGCACAAGUGGUGGAACAUGCGGUUUAAUUCGAUGUUACGCGAAAAACCUUACCAACUCUUGACAUAGUGAUCGCGAGGUUCAGAAAUGAACUUCUUCGGUUCGGCCGGAUCACAUACAGGUGUUGCAUGGCUGUCGU
rnacentral:rRNA from 1 species